GCAAUGGUGAUUUAAUGGUAGAAUUCUCACCUUCCAUGUGGGACACCCAGGUUUUAUUCCUGGCCAAUACA
rnacentral:tRNA from 1 species